UAGAAGUUUUUGACCUGGCUCAGGAUGAACGCUGGCGGCGUGCCUAAUACAUGCAAGUCGAGCGAACGGAUAAGGAGCUUGCUCCUUUGAAGUUAGCGGCGGACGGGUGAGUAACACGUGGGUAACCUACCUAUAAGACUGGAAUAACUUCGGGAAACCGGAGCUAAUGCCGGAUAACAUUUGGAACCGCAUGGUUUUAAAGUAAAAGAUGGUUUUGCUAUCACUUAUAGAUGGACCCGCGCCGUAUUAGCUAGUUGGUAAGGUAACGGCUUACCAAGGCAACGAUACGUAGCCGACCUGAGAGGGUGAUCGGCCACACUGGAACUGAGACACGGUCCAGACUCCUACGGGAGGCAGCAGUAGGGAAUCUUCCGCAAUGGACGAAAGUCUGACGGAGCAACGCCGCGUGAGUGAUGAAGGUUUUCGGAUCGUAAAACUUCUGUUAUUAGGGAAGAACAAAUGUGUAAGUAACUGUGCUACUCUUGUACGGUACCUAUCAAAAGCCG
rnacentral:rRNA from 1 species